GAUACCAGAGUUCAUAGGGUUUUGGGUUUUUUUUCCUAUUUAUACGAAGACUGUGUUCUUGCAGGAACAUAAGUAGGAUUGGCUCAGACAAUUUUUCCACCAGUGAAGAGCUACAUGAUUUUGCCUGUUUAGUACCAUUCAUUCUGACAACUGACAUGGUUUCCUGACUCACAACAUUGCAUCUGGUCAUCCUGUCCUUAGGACACUAGUCUGGGUGGGUGAGGGCUGUGAGUAUCUUGGUGCUACCCUGGCCUCUUCUAUUUUCUUGCCCCCAAGUCAGAGCACUGGAUGUGGUCUCUGAGAAAGCGGAGGCGGAGGUGCGUGUGGUGGGGGGGCACACUGCUGUGGUCAGCUGGUCCCCCAUGUGCUUCUGACACUCCCUUUGAGGUAAGUGGAGCCACAUUUCUUUCCUGGCAGCUGCAGAGCCCCAGCGUCAGUCAGCCGAGAGCUUUGAAGUUUCCUGGGGAGAAAAGGCGCUCUCUGAAGAGAAAGAAUUAUUAUUGCUUCCUGACUUCGGUUAUACAUAGGAGCCUCAAACUCCGGAAAUGAUGGAGAUCAUGAAAUGACUCCAGUAUGUUUGCUUAAUUGUUGAAUAUUCCUGGGGCAGAGAAGGCACGAAUCAGCCUGCCAAAAUGUGUUGGCCACCUCCGCAGGCUUCAAUUAGACGAGGCACUGUGCGUGAUAGAGCAGAGCAUGGGGUGUGGCUCAGAUUGAUGCGCCUGUGUGUCCUGAGUGAUUUGGAGAAUAAGAUUCAUUUUUCUCUAGGCCUGCCUUAUGAAGAAUUCAUAGCCUAUUUGGAAUGGAUGAGCCUAUUACACAUGAAAGUGAUUGAUAAAAAUACUCAAUUAUAUGUAAUUGUGUUAGUUGGGGCUCAGGCUAAGCUGCUUUAGCUAAUGUUUCAAAAGUGCAGUGACUCAAACAAGACAGGGACUUAUUUCUCUCCAGGGAUCAAUUGUCUAGCCAUCAGGGACUCUGGGCUUCUGGGGUCCAGGUUCCUGCUCCUUGUUGUUCUGCCAUGCGUGAAGCUGGCUUAUCCCUACCUCCUCCACACUCCAGCUUGCAGCAAGGCAGAAGAGAGAAAGUGGAGCACGUGCAAUGUCUU